AUGUCCUACGGGAGGCAGCAGUGGGGAAUAUUGGGCAAUGGGCGCAAGCCUGACCCAGCGACGCCGCGUGAGGGAAGACGGUCUUCGGAUUGUAAACCUCUUUCAGCAGGGAAGACAAAAGGACGGUACCUGCAGAAGAAGCCACGGCUAACUACGUGCCAGCAGCCGCGGUAAUAAGUAGGUGGCAAGCGUUAUCCGGAAUUACUGGGUGUAAAGGGUGUGUAGGCGGGGCUGCAAGUCAGAUGGGAGAAUUAUGGGCUCAACCCAUAAACUGCGUCCGAAACUGUA
rnacentral:rRNA from 1 species